rnacentral:tRNA from 1 species
UCCGGGGUGGUGUAACCGGUAACACAGGAGACUUUGAAUCUCCUAUUCUAGGUUCGAGCCCUAGCCCCGGAG